AGGAUGAACGCNNUGGCGGCGUGCCUAAUACAUGCAAGUCGAGCGAACGGACGAGAAGCUUGCUUCUCUGAUGUUAGCGGCGGACGGGUAACACGUGGAUAACCUACCUAUAAGACUGGGAUAACUUCGGGAAACCGGAGCUAAUACCGGAUAAUAUUUUGAACCGCAUGGUUCAAAAGUGAAAGACGGUCUUGCUGUCACUUAUAGAUGGAUCCGCGCUGCAUUAGCUAGUUGGUAAGGUAACGGCUUACCAAGGCAACGAUGCAUAGCCGACCUGAGAGGGUGAUCGGCCACACUGGAACUGAGACACGGUCCAGACUCCUACGGGAGGCAGCAGUAGGGAAUCUUCCGCAAUGGGCGAAAGCCUGACGGAGCAACGCCGCGUGAGUGAUGAAGGUCUUCGGAUCGUAAAACUCUGUUAUUAGGGAAGAACAUAUGUGUAAGUAACUGUGCACAUCUUGACGGUACCUAAUCAGAAAGCCACGGCUAACUACGUGCCAGCAGCCGCGGUAAUACGUAGGUGGCAAGCGUUAUCCGGAAUUAUUGGGCGUAAAGCGCGCGUAGGCGGUUUUUUAAGUCUGAUGUGAAAGCCCACGGCUCAACCGUGGAGGGUCNAUUGGAAACUGGAAAACUUGAGUGCAGAAGAGGAAAGUGGAAUUCCAUGUGUAGCGGUGAAAUGCGCAGAGAUAUGGAGGAACAGAAGGCCCGUGUGGACUUUCUGGUCUGUACUGACGCUGAUGUGCGAAAGCGUGGGGAUCAAACAGGAUUAGAUACCCUGGUAGUCCACGCCGUAAACGUGAGUGCUAAGUGUUAGGGGGUUUCCGCCCCUUAGUGCUGCAGCUAACGCAUUAAGCACUCCGCCUGGGGAGUACGACCGCAAGGUUGAAACUCAAAGGAAUUGACGGGGACCCGCACAAGCGGUGGAGCAUGUGGUUUAAACGUAUUCGAAGCAACGCGAAGAACCUUACCAAAUCUUGACAUCCUUUGACAACUCUAGAGAUAGAGCCUUCCCCUUCGGGGGACAAAGUGACAGGUGGUGCAUGGUUGUCGUCAGCUCGUGUCGUGAGAUGUUGGGUUAAGUCCCGCAACGAGCGCAACCCUUAAGCUUAGUUGCCAUCAUUAAGUUGGGCACUCUAAGUUGACUGCCGGUGACAAACCGGAGGAAGGUGGGGAUGACGUCAAAUCAUCAUGCCCCUUAUGAUUUGGGCUACACACGUGCUACAAUGGACAAUACAAAGGGCAGCGAAACCGCGAGGUCAAGCAAAUCCCAUAAAGUUGUUCUCAGUUCGGAUUGUAGUCUGCAACUCGACUACAUGAAGCUGGAAUCGCUAGUAAUCGUAGAUCAGCAUGCUACGGUGAAUACGUUCCCGGGUCUUGUACACACCGCCCGUCACACGUGACACCACGAGAGUUUGUAACACCCGAAGCCGGUGGAGUAACCUUUUAGGAGCUAGCCGUCGAAGGUGGGACAAAUGAUUGGGGUG
rnacentral:rRNA from 1 species